rnacentral:rRNA from 1 species
CAGUAGCCGCGGUAAUACAGAGGGUGCAAGCGUUAAUCGGAAUUACUGGGCGUAAAGCGCGCGUAGGUGGUUUGUUAAGUUGGAUGUGAAAUCCCCGGGCUCAACCUGGGAAUUGCAGUGGAUACUGGGUCACUAGAGUGUGGUAGAGGAUAGUGGAAUUUCCGGUGUAGCGGUGAAAUGCGUAGAGAUCGGAAGGAACAUCUGUGGCGAAGGCGACUAUCUGGGCCAACACUGACACUGAGGCACGAAAGCGUGGGGAGCAAACAGGAUUAGAGACCCCGGUAGUCCCUGUCUCUUAUAA